UAUGUAAAUAACAAAAUCAACAAGAAACAUGUUGACGGAUUCUAGCUACAUAUCUAUUUUUGAUUGAUUUAUUUAAAUUGAAAGUGCGUUUACUUCAGCUGACCGGGGACUAUUCGUGACGAAUAGACGACGGAGUAGUGGGAGAUGCUGAUUGAAAGCAAAAACCAUAAUCGUGGUCCGUGUAUCACCUCAGGCAGGUUUCGCUACAGAUGCCAAGGCUUUAAGCGCAGUGGGACUGAUUUGGUUUCCAGACAAGGAUCGGCUCUGAAGACCCCGGAGGGACUGAUGGUGAGGCGUCUCCAGAUCCCUUUUGUCGUGAAAGGUCACAUGUGUUUAUAAUUGUUGGAAUAAACGGUUUUGAUUGUUUUGGAAGGAACGGUGCGCCUCAACGCGCCGUUAUAAAGGCAACGAUGCGCUGCCACGCGUUGCUGUGAUAAAAUAGUUCGACCGCCAUCCGUUGAAGCGCUGUUCGCCUGUUUUUCGCAAGAGUGGUCUAUAUUGUUAAUAUAAUAUAUUAUAAUAUUUGCUUAUACACGUUAAAAAUGAACUACUCAAAAUUGAGUCGAA